GUCAUGGUCCUCCCAGAAAACAAGACCACAGUUACUGCACUCACAAGCCUAAGGUAGGUAGAAAGACGUGUGGGUACUUUUCUUAAAGCAGAGCCAUAUUAUUUUCUGCUGCUCUUAAGAUAAUUCUGCAUGUUACUUAAAUCUUAAUGAUAAAAAAAAGACUGAGACAAAGAUUGGUUUUUUCUAAGAUUUUCUUUCUGAUCUGUAAAAUAUACAUGUAUAGCAUACCAAUGUUUGUACCAUAUUGAAAAAUUAAUCUGAGCUUCUUAAUACUGUAUGCAGGGAAAUUCACCUUGUUUGAUUUCUCUAGUAAACACCAUAUAUUUGGGAGAAUUCAAGGUGGGGCAAAACUGUUUGCAAGUGUAGAAGGGCGAAAAAUACAAGGGGCAAAAUUAACCCUGUAUACAGUAGCUUUUCCAACAAAGCACACAUAUGAGUAACAAUAGUUAUUAAAUAAUAUUAUAUUUUUCCAUCUCUGUAGAAAUAAACCACAUUAACACAUCAACUAUGGAAAAGAGCAGCUUUUAAUGGGUCAAAUGUUCUUAUUAUGCAAUUGUACAGUUUAGAUUUCAAACAAUGAGUAUGAACUGUUUUGUAGAAUGAUUCCUCGGCUCCCAGUGAGAACUGUAAAUGUGCCAGUGGUAGUCCUUCCUUGAUCAAGAUGAGUCUCCAGGAUAUGUUAGAAGUAAGUCUCAGCAGAAAAUACUUGUACCAAGAGCAUACUGUGGUUUCAUUAAUAUUCCUGGACAUCAAUUUUUGUGGAUUUAGUAAAGUUCAGUAUAUUACUGUAUAAACUCGUAGGCAAUGAUCAUAUAUGUACCAGUAAACACUUUUCUAUUUCUAUUCACUUCCAUUGGCAGAUACAUGUAAACACAACAAUGAAAUCAACAAUUAUGAGUGUUCAUUGAAUAAUGAUGAAAACAGUAUUUUGAUAGAAAAUAUGUAUUAAUGUCUAUGUACAUAUUCUUUGUACAUGUAUAUCUUCUAGGGGCAUUUAUCAUUUCAUUGUAAAGGACCAGAAAAAACAGCUGAAUUUUUGUUAAAAUACAGCUUUUUACUUACAUGUAACUAUAAAAUUAUUUUUAAAUAGAGAGGUCUUUGAAUUUAAACCAGAGUGUUGU
rnacentral:misc_RNA from 1 species